UGUAAACAAAAAAUCUCUGUGUAGUGAUAUUUGACACAUUUCUAUGAUAAACAAAUAACUGAGCUGAACCAUUAGUGUUAAUUUAGAAAAUAAGGGAACACAGAAUAAAUGUGUAAAAACCAUGGAGCUAUGAAAUGUGUUCAAAGUAUUAAAAUUUCAAAGAACUUAUAGUGUUAAAAUUGGGAUUUUUUACCAUGAGGAGCGACAUCGCAAAAGGAUACUCGGGGUUUGCUAAAUUACGGAAAAAUGAAUCACACUUCGUACCCCGAAAAUUUAACCACAUAUGUAAAAAUGUCUCAGCUUCGAAACAAGCCAUCAUACAUAUACAAGUUUACGAUAUGGGCUGAGCAACAGAAGAAAACGUUACCAUUACGGCCUAUGGAAUAACAAUUGCGCAUAUUGCCCCAUCGUGUGAGACAGGAUCCAGAGAUGUCUUAAGCUAAUUUCACCUUAUACACCACAGAAAAUUGUUAAAAUGAUGUUCCAGACAUAUCAUUACUUUUAAAUAUGAGAUGACAAACUAAAGGUUUUAAAAAGUCCUGAAUAACUGAAAUGGACAAAAAUACACAGAUUUAUUCAGAAUGUCAUACCGAUGAAGAUCACCUAAAAAUAUUUGGAAAAAUCAGAACUAUGGAUUUCAAUAUGGGACAAUACCCCUAAUGCGCCUUGAAAUGAGGAACACAAAAGUCACGUGUAAACAAAAAAUCUCUGUGUAGUGAUAUUUGACACAUUUCUAUGAUAAACAAAUAACUGAGCUGAACCAUUAGUGUUAAUUUAGAAAAUAAGGGAACACAGAAUAAAUGUGUAAAAACCAUGGAGCUAUGAAAUGUGUUCAAAGUAUUAAAAUUUCAAAGAACUUAUAGUGUUAAAAUUGGGAUUUUUUACCAUGAGGAGCGACAUCGCAAAAGGAUACUCGGGGUUUGCUAAAUUACGGAAAAAUGAAUCACACUUCGUACCCCGAAAAUUUAACCACAUAUGUAAAAAUGUCUCAGCUUCGAAACAAGCCAUCAUACAUAUACAAGUUUACGAUAUGGGCUGAGCAACAGAAGAAAACGUUACCAUUACGGCCUAUGGAAUAACAAUUGCGCAUAUUGCCCCAUCGUGUGAGACAGGAUCCAGAGAUGUCUUAAGCUAAUUUCACCUUAUACACCACAGAAAAUUGUUAAAAUGAUGUUCCAGACAUAUCAUUACUUUUAAAUAUGAGAUGACAAACUAAAGGUUUUAAAAAGUCCUGAAUAACUGAAAUGGACAAAAAUACACAGAUUUAUUCAGAAUGUCAUACCGAUGAAGAUCACCUAAAAAUAUUUGGAAAAAUCAGAACUAUGGAUUUCAAUAUGGGACAAUACCCCUAAUGCGCCUUGAAAUGAGGAACACAAAAGUCACGUGUAAACAAAAAAUCUCUGUGUAGUGAUAUUUGACACAUUUCUAUGAUAAACAAAUAACUGAGCUGAACCAUUAGUGUUAAUUUAGAAAAUAAGGGAACACAGAAUAAAUGUGUAAAAACCAUGGAGCUAUGAAAUGUGUUCAAAGUAUUAAAAUUUCAAAGAACUUAUAGUGUUAAAAUUGGGAUUUUUUACCAUGAGGAGCGACAUCGCAAAAGGAUACUCGGGGUUUGCUAAAUUACGGAAAAAUGAAUCACACUUCGUACCCCGAAAAUUUAACCACAUAUGUAAAAAUGUCUCAGCUUCGAAACAAGCCAUCAUACAUAUACAAGUUUACGAUAUGGGCUGAGCAACAGAAGAAAACGUUACCAUUACGGCCUAUGGAAUAACAAUUGCGCAUAUUGCCCCAUCGUGUGAGACAGGAUCCAGAGAUGUCUUAAGCUAAUUUCACCUUAUACACCACAGAAAAUUGUUAAAAUGAUGUUCCAGACAUAUCAUUACUUUUAAAUAUGAGAUGACAAACUAAAGGUUUUAAAAAGUCCUGAAUAACUGAAAUGGACAAAAAUACACAGAUUUAUUCAGAAUGUCAUACCGAUGAAGAUCACCUAAAAAUAUUUGGAAAAAUCAGAACUAUGGAUUUCAAUAUGGGACAAUACCCCUAAUGCGCCUUGAAAUGAGGAACACAAAAGUCACGUGUAAACAAAAAAUCUCUGUGUAGUGAUAUUUGACACAUUUCUAUGAUAAACAAAUAACUGAGCUGAACCAUUAGUGUUAAUUUAGAAAAUAAGGGAACACAGAAUAAAUGUGUAAAAACCAUGGAGCUAUGAAAUGUGUUCAAAGUAUUAAAAUUUCAAAGAACUUAUAGUGUUAAAAUUGGGAUUUUUUACCAUGAGGAGCGACAUCGCAAAAGGAUACUCGGGGUUUGCUAAAUUACGGAAAAAUGAAUCACACUUCGUACCCCGAAAAUUUAACCACAUAUGUAAAAAUGUCUCAGCUUCGAAACAAGCCAUCAUACAUAUACAAGUUUACGAUAUGGGCUGAGCAACAGAAGAAAACGUUACCAUUACGGCCUAUGGAAUAACAAUUGCGCAUAUUGCCCCAUCGUGUGAGACAGGAUCCAGAGAUGUCUUAAGCUAAUUUCACCUUAUACACCACAGAAAAUUGUUAAAAUGAUGUUCCAGACAUAUCAUUACUUUUAAAUAUGAGAUGACAAACUAAAGGUUUUAAAAAGUCCUGAAUAACUGAAAUGGACAAAAAUACACAGAUUUAUUCAGAAUGUCAUACCGAUGAAGAUCACCUAAAAAUAUUUGGAAAAAUCAGAACUAUGGAUUUCAAUAUGGGACAAUACCCCUAAUGCGCCUUGAAAUGAGGAACACAAAAGUCACGUGUAAACAAAAAAUCUCUGUGUAGUGAUAUUUGACACAUUUCUAUGAUAAACAAAUAACUGAGCUGAACCAUUAGUGUUAAUUUAGAAAAUAAGGGAACACAGAAUAAAUGUGUAAAAACCAUGGAGCUAUGAAAUGUGUUCAAAGUAUUAAAAUUUCAAAGAACUUAUAGUGUUAAAAUUGGGAUUUUUUACCAUGAGGAGCGACAUCGCAAAAGGAUACUCGGGGUUUGCUAAAUUACGGAAAAAUGAAUCACACUUCGUACCCCGAAAAUUUAACCACAUAUGUAAAAAUGUCUCAGCUUCGAAACAAGCCAUCAUACAUAUACAAGUUUACGAUAUGGGCUGAGCAACAGAAGAAAACGUUACCAUUACGGCCUAUGGAAUAACAAUUGCGCAUAUUGCCCCAUCGUGUGAGACAGGAUCCAGAGAUGUCUUAAGCUAAUUUCACCUUAUACACCACAGAAAAUUGUUAAAAUGAUGUUCCAGACAUAUCAUUACUUUUAAAUAUGAGAUGACAAACUAAAGGUUUUAAAAAGUCCUGAAUAACUGAAAUGGACAAAAAUACACAGAUUUAUUCAGAAUGUCAUACCGAUGAAGAUCACCUAAAAAUAUUUGGAAAAAUCAGAACUAUGGAUUUCAAUAUGGGACAAUACCCCUAAUGCGCCUUGAAAUGAGGAACACAAAAGUCACGUGUAAACAAAAAAUCUCUGUGUAGUGAUAUUUGACACAUUUCUAUGAUAAACAAAUAACUGAGCUGAACCAUUAGUGUUAAUUUAGAAAAUAAGGGAACACAGAAUAAAUGUGUAAAAACCAUGGAGCUAUGAAAUGUGUUCAAAGUAUUAAAAUUUCAAAGAACUUAUAGUGUUAAAAUUGGGAUUUUUUACCAUGAGGAGCGACAUCGCAAAAGGAUACUCGGGGUUUGCUAAAUUACGGAAAAAUGAAUCACACUUCGUACCCCGAAAAUUUAACCACAUAUGUAAAAAUGUCUCAGCUUCGAAACAAGCCAUCAUACAUAUACAAGUUUACGAUAUGGGCUGAGCAACAGAAGAAAACGUUACCAUUACGGCCUAUGGAAUAACAAUUGCGCAUAUUGCCCCAUCGUGUGAGACAGGAUCCAGAGAUGUCUUAAGCUAAUUUCACCUUAUACACCACAGAAAAUUGUUAAAAUGAUGUUCCAGACAUAUCAUUACUUUUAAAUAUGAGAUGACAAACUAAAGGUUUUAAAAAGUCCUGAAUAACUGAAAUGGACAAAAAUACACAGAUUUAUUCAGAAUGUCAUACCGAUGAAGAUCACCUAAAAAUAUUUGGAAAAAUCAGAACUAUGGAUUUCAAUAUGGGACAAUACCCCUAAUGCGCCUUGAAAUGAGGAACACAAAAGUCACGUGUAAACAAAAAAUCUCUGUGUAGUGAUAUUUGACACAUUUCUAUGAUAAACAAAUAACUGAGCUGAACCAUUAGUGUUAAUUUAGAAAAUAAGGGAACACAGAAUAAAUGUGUAAAAACCAUGGAGCUAUGAAAUGUGUUCAAAGUAUUAAAAUUUCAAAGAACUUAUAGUGUUAAAAUUGGGAUUUUUUACCAUGAGGAGCGACAUCGCAAAAGGAUACUCGGGGUUUGCUAAAUUACGGAAAAAUGAAUCACACUUCGUACCCCGAAAAUUUAACCACAUAUGUAAAAAUGUCUCAGCUUCGAAACAAGCCAUCAUACAUAUACAAGUUUACGAUAUGGGCUGAGCAACAGAAGAAAACGUUACCAUUACGGCCUAUGGAAUAACAAUUGCGCAUAUUGCCCCAUCGUGUGAGACAGGAUCCAGAGAUGUCUUAAGCUAAUUUCACCUUAUACACCACAGAAAAUUGUUAAAAUGAUGUUCCAGACAUAUCAUUACUUUUAAAUAUGAGAUGACAAACUAAAGGUUUUAAAAAGUCCUGAAUAACUGAAAUGGACAAAAAUACACAGAUUUAUUCAGAAUGUCAUACCGAUGAAGAUCACCUAAAAAUAUUUGGAAAAAUCAGAACUAUGGAUUUCAAUAUGGGACAAUACCCCUAAUGCGCCUUGAAAUGAGGAACACAAAAGUCACGUGUAAACAAAAAAUCUCUGUGUAGUGAUAUUUGACACAUUUCUAUGAUAAACAAAUAACUGAGCUGAACCAUUAGUGUUAAUUUAGAAAAUAAGGGAACACAGAAUAAAUGUGUAAAAACCAUGGAGCUAUGAAAUGUGUUCAAAGUAUUAAAAUUUCAAAGAACUUAUAGUGUUAAAAUUGGGAUUUUUUACCAUGAGGAGCGACAUCGCAAAAGGAUACUCGGGGUUUGCUAAAUUACGGAAAAAUGAAUCACACUUCGUACCCCGAAAAUUUAACCACAUAUGUAAAAAUGUCUCAGCUUCGAAACAAGCCAUCAUACAUAUACAAGUUUACGAUAUGGGCUGAGCAACAGAAGAAAACGUUACCAUUACGGCCUAUGGAAUAACAAUUGCGCAUAUUGCCCCAUCGUGUGAGACAGGAUCCAGAGAUGUCUUAAGCUAAUUUCACCUUAUACACCACAGAAAAUUGUUAAAAUGAUGGUUAGUAGUUUUUUAUUUAUACCUAGUUAUCAUAAAUGAUUUCAGAUAAAUAUUAUUGAUAAAGAACAGCAAAAAUUCAAUAAAAUUUUCACUUUUAAAUGCAUUACUGGCACGGGGCUGAACACUUUUUUUAGGCACAGUCAUAACUUUGUUUACCCCCGAGAGAUCCGAAAUGAAUUGUUUAUUCAAUUGAAAAAGGCAAGAAAAAACUUACAUGUAAUAUAAAUAAAUUUUCCAGACAUAUCAUUACUUUUAAAUAUGAGAUGACAAACUAAAGGUUUUAAAAAGUCCUGAAUAACUGAAAUGGACAAAAAUACACAGAUUUAUUCAGAAUGUCAUACCGAUGAAGAUCACCUAAAAAUAUUUGGAAAAAUCAGAACUAUGGAUUUCAAUAUGGGACAAUACCCCUAAUGCGCCUUGAAAUGAGGAACACAAAAGUCACGUGUAAACAAAAAAUCUCUGUGUAGUGAUAUUUGACACAUUUCUAUGAUAAACAAAUAACUGAGCUGAACCAUUAGUGUUAAUUUAGAAAAUAAGGGAACACAGAAUAAAUGUGUAAAAACCAUGGAGCUAUGAAAUGUGUUCAAAGUAUUAAAAUUUCAAAGAACUUAUA